AGAAUCAACGCUGGCGGCGUGCCUAACACAUGCAAGUCGAACGAGAAAGUGGAGCAAUCCAUGAGUAAAGUGGCGACCGGGUGAGUAACACGUGACCAAUCUACCCUUGAGUGGGGGAUAACCUCGGGAAACCGGGGCUAAUACCGCAUAAUAUCUCUGGAUCGGAAGAACUGGAGAUCAAAGGAGCAAUUCGCUUAAGGAGGAGGUCGCGGCUGAUUAGCUAGUUGGCGGGUAAUGGCCCACCAAGGCAAAGAUCGGUA
rnacentral:rRNA from 1 species